CAGUCGAGGGGUAGAGGAAGCUUGCUUCCUUGAGACCGGCGCACGGGUGCGUAACGCGUAUGCAAUCUACCUUGUACAGGGGGAUAGCCCAGAGAAAUUUGGAUUAAUACCCCAUAGUAUUAUUGAAUGGCAUCAUUUAAUUAUUAAAGUUCCAACGGUACAAGAUGAGCAUGCGUCCUAUUAGCUAGUUGGUGUGGUAACGGCACACCAAGGCUACGAUAGGUAGGGGUCCUGAGAGGGAGAUCCCCCACACUGGUACUGAGACACGGACCAGACUCCUACGGGAGGCAGCAGUGAGGAAUAUUGGACAAUGGGCGCAAGCCUGAUCCAGCCAUGCCGCGUGCAGGAAGAAGCAUCUAUGGUGUGUAAACUGCUUUUGUACGGGAAGAAACACUGCUACGUGUAGCAGCUUGACGGUACCGUAAGAAUAAGGAUCGGCUAACUCCGUGCCAGCAGCCGCGGUAAUACGGAGGAUCCAAGCGUUAUCCGGAAUCAUUGGGUUUAAAGGGUCCGUAGGCGGUCUAAUAAGUCAGUGGUGAAAGCCCAUCGCUCAACGAUGGAACGGCCAUUGAUACUGUUAGACUUGAAUUAUUGGGAAGUAACUAGAAUAUGUAGUGUAGCGGUGAAAUGCUUAGAUAUUACAUGGAAUACCAAUUGCGAAGGCAGGUUACUAUCAAUAUAUUGACGCUGAUGGACGAAAGCGUGNGGAGCGAACAGGAUUAGAUACCCUGGUAGUCCACGCCGUAAACGAUGGAUACUAGCUGUUCGGAGCAAUCUGAGUGGCUAAGCGAAAGUGAUAAGUAUCCCACCUGGGGAGUACGUUCGCAAGAAUGAAAC
rnacentral:rRNA from 1 species